rnacentral:rRNA from 1 species
UGAUCUAGCCAUGCCGCGUGAGUGAUGAAGGCCCUAGGGUCGUAAAGCUCUUUCGCCAGGGAUGAUAAUGACAGUACCUGGUAAAGAAACCCCGGCUAACUCCGUGCCAGCAGCCGCGGUAAUACGGAGGGGGUUAGCGUUGUUCGGAAUUACUGGGCGUAAAGCGCGCGUAGGCGGAUCAGAAAGUUGGGGGUGAAAUCCCGGGGCUCAACCCCGGAACUGCCUCCAAAACUCCUGGUCUUGAGUUCGAGAGAGGUGAGUGGAAUUCCGAGUGUAGAGGUGAAAUUCGUAGAUAUUCGGAGGAACACCAGUGGCGAAGGCGGCUCACUGGCUCGAUACUGACGCUGAGGUGCGAAAGUGUGGGGAGCAAACAGGAUUAGAUACCCCGGUAGUCA